AAUAAGUUUAUAAGAAGCCCGAGUUAACGGAAGUUAAAAUAAAACGGGUUAUAACUCUCGGGACCCACUAAGUAACUAGGAAUAUCAACCUAGUUAGUUAAGUGUUUUAAAAUAAUGAAGGAACUUGAUAUAGUAACCUUUUUAUAACUUUUAGAAACUAGAGGGACUAAAAGGGUUAAGUGAGAAAAUAAUUAUUAUUAAAACAAAAAUUAAAAACCCAAAACACACACUUGGUGUGUGUUCUGGUCGUAGAUUACACAGGGGGCGAACAAGGUUUCUUCAACCAAACCCUAACUAGCUAAAAAUCAAGCAAUUGGAAGGCUAAAUCAGUCCCAAAUCGAAAUCCAAGCUUAUUUUAGUGAUCACCUAAGCGAAGGGAUCACAAGUUUGACUCUGACAAGCUUGGUAGGAGCUUGGAAAUGAACGGGUCAAAUGGAUACAAGUUCAAGUAUGAAGCUCACAAGGAUGCAAGGUAAGUAAAGCUUACACCCAAUUUAAAUGUACGUGUUUAUUUUAUAGGUGAUAAAUAUGACAAUGGAUUAUGUUUAAAAAAAAUGGGUUCCGACAUGAACCGAAAUGAGUCGGAAUAAAUAAAAACUAUCAAAACCAUGGUUAAUGGUAAAAAGAGGCAAAAUGGUAAUUUAGUCAUGAAUUGACUAAGAAUUUAUAAGUUUUCUUAAAGUUACCUAAUAGCGUAACUAGAAAUGGGAAAAAGGGGUAAAAAGGGUAAUUUAGUCACGUGAUGACUAAAUAUAAGUUGAGAUUAAAUGGAUACCCACGGCGUAAGCCGAAAUGGGUUAAAUAUGUAAGAAAAAGGAAAUUUUGUGGUAAAAUCCGGAAUGGGUAGUUAAAAACCAUGCUUUGAAACAAAUGCGAAUGUUUGGUCAUAUAGGCCAAAUGGGUCAAAUGGUGGUGAUAACACCAUUUGACAAUAUUGACUAACGUUGGUUGUUAAGUUGUAUGUUCACAGGAGUGAACCGGAAAUGGAUAAUUGCGUCGCUAUAAAGUAACGGCUAAUAAAAGCAAGGUAUAAAACGAGUUUAUAUAUUGACCCGAGCCAGGUGAAUGUAGCUACCAUCCGGGUGUCGAUCAAGCAAUGAAGUGAACCGAACACUAUGCAGUUACAAGCUUCCGCACAUAGUUUCGUCGUUAUUUUUAAACGACGAACUCAAUUAAUUACGUUGUAUUUUUCUUUAAUUGUAAAAGUUUUAAUAAACCUGUAUUUUUCAAUAUAUGUGUAUCCAUAAUUACAUAUUUAUUUUCGUAAACCAUACGGAAACUGUUAAAUAAUAGCAAGGGUCUUACAAGUUGGUAAUCAGAGCUCCAGGUUAAAAGAAUAAAGUGUUCGGUUCGAGGCUUGAUCGCAAAUCUGGUAAGUAGAUGUAUAUAGUAAUGGUUUAGUAUGAUUAAAGUGUUGUAAUAACACAUAGGAUUAUCGUGUAAUACACGUUACACCAAUUAAAUCGAUCAAGGAUCGAUAUAGUUAAUGAAAUUACGUGCGUUGACACGUAUAGUAGAAAAGCCUUGUAUUAUGAUACGGGCAUUUAUUGAAGUCGACAUUACUAAUCCUUGUAAAUGUUUUAAUUGAAGGAUACUUACAUCUGAGGAUGGCGAGAGUGUAACAAAUUUCGGAUAUGACGGAGAAACGGUCCGAGUAUGACAAGCAGAGCAUGCUCGCCAAGGACAAAAAAUCGCGUAACAAUCGCGAACCAGGUUAACGGCAAGGAAAGCCCGUCGGGGCAAGCAUUACCAGGUGCACGUUUUACAUUUAAUCGCACAAAUAGUAAUAUGCAACAAACACGUAGAGAAUGACGGUUGCAUAUGUAGGAUAAAACUUGGAAAAACCGAAUAGGAUAUCUAUUUAGAAUGAUGUUUCCAAGAAAAAUCAAAUAGAAACAUGUGUUAUUCACGAUUGUGAAUAACGAGACAAUAAUAGAGUUAGUUUAUGUGGAAACUUGGACGGGAGUAAUUAUCCAAGUGAAUAAUUCUCAAUAUUAUACUAUUGAGAAAAGUAGCGAUCACAUUUACGAAUGUGAUUACAUAAUAGUUUGAUAAAAAAAAGGAAGAAAACAUUCUAUAUGUUAAAGGGCAAAACAAGUAAAACUAAUGAUUGUCGUUUAUCAAUUAAAUAAAGUUUUACGGAAUGAAAUCAAAGAUAUAGAAAUAAAUAGAGGCGUUACUAACAUAGGGCGUGAUGUGAAAAUUAUAAAAGGUCAUGCGUGUCAUGUGUUGACCGCUUACUCUGGCCAAGUAAGUAGUGAACACAUAAUACCAUGAACUUCAUAUGAUGGACACAUUUACGUCCGAUGUAAUAAGGACGGGUUGAAUGGGACAAUUUAAAAAAAAAGUACCCAAAUGAAUAAAAUAAGCAAAAUGUUUGAUAAUAAACGUAAACGCAAGUCGGAUGACGGAAGCGUAUUACGUUAGAAUAACGAGCCCGAGAGAAGGGACAAGGAUCAAAGUAAAUGAAAAUACAGACCGAUUAAUAGGAAUGCUAAGGCAUAGGGAUAAAAGUUUGACUGUCGCAAGUGGUGAAAUUCACACGGACAAGUUAGACGAAUUAAAUAAAGAAUAAAGAACUUGAUUGAAUAAAAGUGAUGAAUUUCGCUAAGACAACCAAAUAAAUUAAAACGAAGUCUUAAUACAUACCGGGAUGGUUGCCUUGAUAGUGAUUCGGUAAAAUACCCGAUAUAUGGGUAGGAUUUUGAAAGUAUGCGUAAACCAAGGGACGGGAACGCGAAAUAGAAAGUCAAAAGACUCGGAUUAUGAGUCAUGACUAAAAGACGAUGAGAAAUUGCAAACAUAAAUUUUGAUAACUAUGUUCAACUAUUUUAAAGUUGAACAGGUCGAAUAAAGGAUGAAGUUUGACGUUCAUAAGUGAUGAAAUCUCACACGAAUAAGUCAAACGGGAUAAAUAAAGUAUAAAAACUUGGUAGUACAAGUAAGCGCAAACCAAAUGAUGGAAGCGCGAAAUAUUAAUGAACCUAUGUGAUGGGUCGUAAAGAAGUAUAGGUAUGAACCGGGUAACGGUAAGUGUAGGACAAACCGACAUGUAAAUGACGUUAGAAGUCAUAAAGUCGGAAAGAUAAUUCGAAAGAAAACAAAUGUAGCCUUAGACUACGGUCAAGGAAAAAAUGAAAUACAAAAGCAAAAAUAAAUGAUUCUAAACAUAAAAAGGGUACCUUGACGCCAUAGAUAUACAUACAGUUGAAUAAAUACUCGAAUAAAAGAUGAUCUACGGGAUCAUCAUAACCUUUGGGAUUAUAAGUAAUGUUAAGGUCUAUGGGACCAAAAAGACCUUCGGGUCACAAAUAGAAAGAAACGAAUUGUCGGGUGCUCACCUUAAAGAGGUAAAAAGGUGAAAAUCUAAAUAAAUAGCCUACGAGGCUAAGUGAAAGAAUCAACGGGUCAUUUGGGUUAAGCGUAGGAACUAGUUAUGAUUCCCAACAUCAAAUAAUAAUGGAAAGGAAUAAAUCCUCAGAUAUAAAUUCUUAAAUACAAGUAAACACGUAUAAGGUCGGAGAUGGCAAUACGGUAUACCCAGGUGAUGGGGUAUAAGGUAACCGGUGACUAAGAAGUCUAACCGCCAAAUUAAAUAAUCAACAAAGAUAACGGAUACAAGCUGAAAGUAACGGCCCACUAGGCCUCACACAUGAAAGACGUAUGCGUCAAAAUAAAUGAGAACUUUGGACCGAAAGAAACGGGUGCCUUGAAAAUGAAACUUGGUUCGUUUGAUUAAACCAAUGAACUACGUAAAUAAGGUUUCGGGGACGAAACCUCUUUAAGGGGGGUAGACUUGUAACACCCCGAAAACAAAUUUGAUAGUCAAACCACGUUAAUAUUAAUGAACGGGUAAAAUACCGUUAGUGGUAAAAUUA